rnacentral:rRNA from 1 species
AAAUUGAAGAGUUUGAUCAUGGCUCAGAUUGAACGCUGGCGGCAGGCCUAACACAUGCAAGUCGAACGGUAACAGAAAGCAGCUUGCUGCUUUGCUGACGAGUGGCGGACGGGUGAGUAAUGUCUGGGAAACUGCCCGAUGGAGGGGGAUAACUACUGGAAACGGUAGCUAAUACCGCAUAACGUCGCAAGACCAAAGAGGGGGACCUUCGGGCCUCUUGCCAUCGGAUGUGCCCAGAUGGGAUUAGCUAGUAGGUGGGGUAAAGGCUCACCUAGGCGACGAUCCCUAGCUGGUCUGAGAGGAUGACCAGCCACACUGGAACUGAGACACGGUCCAGACUCCUACGGGAGGCAGCAGUGGGGAAUAUUGCACAAUGGGCGCAAGCCUGAUGCAGCCAUGCCGCGUGUAUGAAGAAGGCCUUCGGGUUGUAAAGUACUUUCAGCG